rnacentral:rRNA from 1 species
ACGAACGCUGGCGGCGUGCCUAAUACAUGCAAGUCGAACGCUUCUUUUUCCACCGGAGCUUGCUCCACCGGAAAAAGAGGAGUGGCGAACGGGUGAGUAACACGUGGGUAACCUGCCCAUCAGAAGGGAAUAACACUUGGAAACAGGUGCUAAUACCGUAUAACAAUUGAAACCGCAUGGUUUUGAUUUGAAAGGCGCUUUCGGGUGUCGCUGAUGGAUGGACCCGCGGUGCAUUAGCUAGUUGGUGAGGUAACGGCUCACCAAGGCGACGAUGCAUAGCCGACCUGAGAGGGUGAUCGGCCACAUUGGGACUGAGACACGGCCCAAACUCCUACGGGAGGCAGCAGUAGGGAAUCUUCGGCAAUGGACGAAAGUCUGACCGAGCAACGCCGCGUGAGUGAAGAAGGUUUUCGGAUCGUAAAACUCUGUUGUUAGAGAAGAACAAGGAUGAGAGUAACUGUUCAUCCCUUGACGGUAUCUAACCAGAAAGCCACGGCUAACUACGUGCCAGCAGCCGCGGUAAUACGUAGGUGGCAAGCGUUGUCCGGAUUUAUUGGGCGUAAAGCGAGCGCAGGCGGUUUCUUAAGUCUGAUGUGAAAGCCCCCGGCUCAACCGGGGAGGGUCAUUGGAAACUGGGAGACUUGAGUGCAGAAGAGGAGAGUGGAAUUCCAUGUGUAGCGGUGAAAUGCGUAGAUAUAUGGAGGAACACCAGUGGCGAAGGCGGCUCUCUGGUCUGUAACUGACGCUGAGGCUCGAAAGCGUGGGGAGCAAACAGGAUUAGAUACCCUGGUAGUCCACGCCGUAAACGAUGAGUGCUAAGUGUUGGAGGGUUUCCGCCCUUCAGUGCUGCAGCUAACGCAUUAAGCACUCCGCCUGGGGAGUACGACCGCAAGGUUGAAACUCAAAGGAAUUGACGGGGGCCCGCACAAGCGGUGGAGCAUGUGGUUUAAUUCGAAGCAACGCGAAGAACCUUACCAGGUCUUGACAUCCUUUGACCACUCUAGAGAUAGAGCUUCCCCUUCGGGGGCAAAGUGACAGGUGGUGCAUGGUUGUCGUCAGCUCGUGUCGUGAGAUGUUGGGUUAAGUCCCGCAACGAGCGCAACCCUUAUUGUUAGUUGCCAUCAUUUAGUUGGGCACUCUAGCAAGACUGCCGGUGACAAACCGGAGGAAGGUGGGGAUGACGUCAAAUCAUCAUGCCCCUUAUGACCUGGGCUACACACGUGCUACAAUGGGAAGUACAACGAGUCGCAAAGUCGCGAGGCUAAGCUAAUCUCUUAAAGCUUCUCUCAGUUCGGAUUGUAGGCUGCAACUCGCCUACAUGAAGCCGGAAUCGCUAGUAAUCGCGGAUCAGCACGCCGCGGUGAAUACGUUCCCGGGCCUUGUACACACCGCCCGUCACACCACGAGAGUUUGUAACACCCGAAGUCGGUGAGGUAACCUUUUGGAGCCAGCCGCCUAAGGUGGGAUAGAUGAUUGGGGUG